rnacentral:rRNA from 1 species
UACAUGUGGGGCAAGCGUUGUUCGGAAUUACUGGGCAUAAAGGGUGCGUAGGCGGCGCGUCAAGUCACUGGUGAAAGUUUGCGGCCCAACCGUAAAAUUGCCGGCGAUACUGGCGUGCUCGAGUGCGUGAGGGGUUGGGGGAACGAGUGGUGUAGCGGUGAAAUGCGUAGAGAUCACUCGGAAGGCCAGAGCCGAAGGGGCCCAACUGGUACGCAACUGACGCUGAGGCACGAAAGCGUGGGGAGCAACAGG